CCUCCAUCACGCAAGCGCACUAGAGAGUUUCUGAGUGUCCGGAGGCCGCGAAGAACUACAUUUCCCAAUGCCCUUAAGCAACGGAAGUGAUGUAAAUAGCAGACAUAGUUGGAGGGUUCGGGUAAAAAUGGCCGAAUAUUUAGCUUCGAUAUUCGGGACUGAGAAGGACAAGGUUAACUGCUCUUUUUACUUUAAGAUCGGGGCCUGCCGGCAUGGGGACCGGUGCUCCCGGCUUCACAACAAACCGACUUUCAGCCAGACCAUAGUACUGCUCAACCUGUACCGGAAUCCACAGAACACUGCCCAAACCGCAGACGGAUCGCACUGUCACGUGAGCGACGUGGAGGUGCAAGAACACUAUGAUAACUUCUUCGAGGAAGUGUUCACAGAACUGCAGGAGAAGUACGGGGAGAUUGAAGAGAUGAAUGUGUGCGACAACCUGGGGGAUCACCUCGUGGGCAAUGUUUAUGUCAAGUUUCGGCGCGAGGAGGAUGCAGAGCGGGCAGUGGCUGAACUCAAUAACCGCUGGUUCAACGGGCAGGCUGUGCAUGCCGAGCUGUCUCCCGUCACUGACUUCCGGGAGUCGUGCUGUCGGCAGUAUGAGAUGGGGGAAUGUACCCGGGGUGGUUUCUGCAACUUCAUGCACCUGCGACCUAUCUCCCGCAACCUCCGGCGGCAGCUCUAUGGGCGGGGACCCAGGCGCAGGUCACCCCCAAGGUCCCAUACUGGCCACCGUCCCCGAGAAAGAAAUCGACGACGGUCCCCAGACCACCGGCAUGGCCGUUUCUGAGAUGCUGACCUCCUUGCCCUCCACCCCUGGCAGGCACAUAUGUUCCUGGCCAGGACCCCUCCUCAAAGCUCCCUUAACUCCCUAGUGCCAUCUUUUCCAGGCUCCGGGUCUCCAUGAUGUAAUACCUUCAACACAGGGACCUUCUAUCGCCCCGCCCCUAAUAAAGUUCUAUAUUGAGGGUUUAGAGCUUCGUUGUUAGCUUGAGCCUGGCUGUGGGCUGGUUUCCUUCCACCCCCACAUCUGCUGAUGAAAAGGGGAAGUAGGGCUGGGCUCUGGCCACAACCUCAGCCAAGGAACUUCCAACAACAGGUGGGAAAGCAGCAUGCCCAGGGUCCUAGAAACCCCCAAGUGGGACUGGUUGGGUGGGGUUGCCUUUGUGCUGAAACUUCAGCACGUCCAUCAGAGGAUUCUCAAGGGGGAGAUGCUUGGUUGUGGCAGGUUGGAGGAUUCCCAGUCUGGAGGAGAUUGGGGUUAGGAGCUAAGGUAAGAUUGCUGGGAGUUGGGUGGGAGUCCCCAGUGGGUGAUGGCUGGGUCCUCUAUGCCCACUGCCCUGAGAUGGGAAUAGGUAGUACCUAAUACUUAAGCUUACUCUAUGCCAGGUGCCAGGUGUUCUAAAUGCUCUACUUCCAGUAAUGGUUUUACUUCUCCACAAUAACCUUCUAAGACAGGUACUAUUAUUAUCCCAUUUUACAGAUGGGAAAAGAGAGGGCAAGAAGAUGGCAGAGAUGGGAUAUAAAUCCACGCAGUCCGGCUCCAGAGUCCUCGCUGUAGCCAUCUUGAGGCCUUGUGGCCUCUCUGAUAACGGGCCAGGAGCUGGUCUGGGGGCUGGAGAGUAGAUUCCUGGCUUCCAAAGGGGACUGGGGAUCCUAUGCCCCCACAUCCACUGCUUCCUUCUUCUGACCCGGUUUCCUGGCAAGUGCGGCAGAGGCGCUGUGGCAGGAAGUCCUGUGGUCAUGGCCCCCCAGAAGGCAGGCUCCGCCAGGAUGGGGCCCCUAGGCCUCCUCCUGACUGCCGUGCUGCUCCUGGCCCAGGCGGCGCCGAGGAAGGCCUCUCAGCACUGCAGCCGCCUCGAGUACUGGAACCCUGACGACCUGUGCAGUGGCAGCUGCCUGCAGCGCUUCGGGCCGCCCCCUGCUCGGACUGAAUUUUCGGAAAACUGCCGGCCGGAUGAUGCGGGCAAUCACGUAACGCACCCCUUCAAAGAGUGUCCUCCUGGGCAGUGCAACCCCAACACCGAGGGGCUAGGUAGCCCUUGUGGCGGCGGAGCAACGGCCCCCACUUCCUUGGGGAGCCGCGGCGGGACCCGGAGGCGCGGCAGACAGAAGCCGGUCCCUAACAAGGAGCCCUGCCCCCUGACACGUGGAAAACUGAGCGUCCUUAGUUCCCAGGAGCCCAGCUCACCGGCGAUCCCCAGUCUCCCGUGGACAUCUGAGCACAAAGUCCCUCAGCAGGCCUGGCCGAGUUGGAGUUUUGACCUGUCCCUGGUGCUGGUUCUGCUCGUGACCUCAGCAGUAAUUCUCCUGCUCGCCCUGCAAAGGCACCGCCGUCGCCACCACCAGGGGAAGGCCGUCCAACACCCCUAUCCUGGCUUGGUUUGCAACGACCUGAACACCCACAUCCUAUUCUCCUUGCACUCGUCCCCUCCAGGCUCCCUGGAGGCUUCAGAGGCAGGGUACUCAGGGAAGGAGGUCCCUCUGCCUCCACUCCUAGGCAGGGAGCUGCCAAGUCUGGAAUCACAGCCGCUGUCUCGCCUCCUGGAUGAGCUGGAAGUGCUGGAGGAGCUGAUCGUGCUGCUGGAUCCUGAGCCUGGGCCAGGUUGGGGGAGAGCCUGUGGCAGCACUCGACACCUGGCUGCAAAAUAUGGACUGCCUGCUGCCUGGUCCACUCCCGCCUACUCCCUGCGGCCCAGUCGCUGGCCUCGGCGGGCCGUGAUGGAGAUGGUGGUGGCAAGGGAGCCCUCUGCCUCUCUGGGCCAGCUUGGCGCACACCUGCCCAGAGAGGGCGGGCAGAUGCACUGCGGGUGCUGUCCAAGCUUGGCUGAGCUGGGGCCUGCCCGGCCUAGUACCCGAUAAAAAUAAAGUUUCCAUUGAA